rnacentral:sRNA from 1 species
GCUGGGCGUGGUGGUGCACACCUGUAAUCCCAGUGUCUCAGGAGGCUGAGGCAGGAGGAUCACAAGUUCAAAGCCAGCCUCAG